AGCGAACGCUGGCGGCAGGCCUAACACAUGCCAGUCGAACGAACCUUUCGGGGUUAGUGGCGGACGGGUGAGUAACACGUGGGAACGUGCCUUUAGGUUCGGAAUAACUCAGGGAAACUUGUGCUAAUACCGAAUGUGCCCUUCGGGGGAAAGAUUAAUCGCCUUUAGAGCGGCCCGCGUCUGAUUAGCUAGUUGGUUGAGGUAAUGGCUCACCAAGGCGACGAUCAGUAGCUGGUCUGAGAGGAUGAUCAGCCACAUUGGGACUGAGACACGGCCCAAACUCCUACGGGAGGCAGCAGUGGGGAAUCUUGCGCAAUGGGCGAAAGCCUGACGCAGCCAUGCCGCGUGAAUGAUGAAGGUCUAGGAUUGUAAAAUUCUUUCACCGGGGACGAUAAUGACGGUACCCGGAGAAGAAGCCCCGGCUAACUUCGUG
rnacentral:rRNA from 1 species